UUGAAAGGAAAAUGGUUUAAGACAUUGCUACACAUACAAAUAAAUCGGACAUCUAAAUUCUUGGGAAUUCCGUAGACAACUCUUCUAACUUGUUCAAACUCAUCCCGACGCCACUCCGGUCUCACAUCUCCACUGUUUCCAUUUGAAUGAGCUGCGUUCGACCCACCGCCUUUCUCCGGGUGCAUCAUUCCGGCCGCUUAAUCUGUGACCUGGUGCCUAUCGAUGCCUAAGGAUAUUCUAUCAGAGCCGGCCAACACCCUGGAGAACGAAGUGGCCAAGUUGACGCUAAGCUAAGCAACAUUUUUUGCUAAAUGACAUUUAUCGUAUUAUAAACAUAACGAAAGUUAAAUUUAAUACUGAA